GAAAAGAACAUUGAAAUUGCUUCAAUGCCAAAUGCACACACGCACACACACACACCCGCAAAGACGCAGAGCUUUGCAGAUGCACGGAUGGGCGAGAUGAACCGUGCAUAAACAUGUGCAGGUACGCACACACACUACACACCAAAGAGUCCAUGCAGUGAUGCCGAUGACGAGGCUGCAGCUGUUAUGAGUGUGAUAACGAGAACGCGGCACCUUCUCGACAUUAAGAAGCACAUCACUCUGUCUGCCGUGUCUCCCGCUGACCCUCUGGCGGCCAUUUGCACGAUGCCCCUCGACAGAGCACAAGACAGACGGUCUUUUAAACUCUGCGUUGCCCCCCCCUCCCGGUAUGGGGAGCAGUAGAGCGUUCGGAGACAGAAGGAUCUCUGAGGCAUGAAUUAACUUUACCCGAAAUGCUUCCUGUCAUCAGAGGACGCCAGCUCUGAUGGAUGGAUGGGGAGGAUGAGAGACGGUUGGGAUCUUCCAGCAGAGCCUUCUGUGUGAAUGAUGUUCUGUGCAGCUUGAAGACGAGCAGAGGGAGAGGCGUGCGUCUACACAAUAUCCAGAUAAUUAAGCUCUGACAUAACGGAGCGCGACGGAUUCACCGGGAAGCCGUUGGCCACGAAAAGGAACGGACGGACGAGCAGACUUUCAUUUUUUUUUUUUGCUACGAGUGUGUGAUGUGCUUUUGAUUGACUGGAGAAUUACUGCCAAACAUAUACGGGGGGUAAACAGAGGGCAAAAGCAGUUUGUUUGUUUGUUUGUUGUUGUUGUUGUGUAGACAUCGGGGGUCCAGGGGUCAGACCGCUGAGGGUGACUUUGACAGCACGCCACAGGGCUCUGGCACAAGACCGAGAGAAGAAAGAAGAAAACGCCACGAGGGAGGGGAAAAGAGAGAAAAGCCGUGAAAAUAAACGCAGACGAGAACAUUUGUGACAAAACAACAAAAAAUAAAUUCAAACAGCUUUUCCUCCAAGGCUCUUUUCUCCAAUCGCCCCUGUCGUAUUCUGCAAAGCUUCGCUGGCCUGUCACAAAAACAAGGUUAGCAGUCUUUUCCCCCCCCGGCUUAGUGGCCCCCUUUCUGUGGCAGAUACAAAAUGUUUUAUCAAACCCUGUUUAUGGAAAUGUCAUGUCUCGCUGCAUAAUAGAGGAGCUAGAGACGGAUGAAAAACAACACCAGAGGCUGACAGGCCGCCAGCGAGGGGAAGUUCCUGCGUUAAAAAUGAGUUCUCAACAAGGGGCUCGGGCAGAAAUGACCGCUCACCUCGGCGUCCCCUCGCGCUUUCACCUUCACCCGCGAGGCCCUGUUUGGGGUUUGGAUCCAUCCAAAAAAAUCAUCCAAAAAAUGUGCCCCAUUUCCAUGAGAGAACCAGAAAAAAAGAAAUGACAGAAAGAAAUGAGAUCUGAUGGCGGAUGUGGGGAACGGGGAGAUGAAACUGUCAAAUAUCUGUGUGAAAAAGCUCUUUAGUUCACUUGCACUAUUUGUAGCGGCAGCCGGCUCGUGCUAGAUUGGAUGCUAACACUGAAUUACACAAGCGAAUUCCUGCAAGUGCUCCGAAUUAACCCAGUUAGCUUUCACAGACUCAACAGUUGCCGUCCCAAUUUCCGAAUGCACCAGAUGUUUGGAUGCUUCGCACCGGGGGACCGGCGAGGACGAGAUCAAACCGGGAAGUUGUCAAUUAUUUGUUGAUUUUCUGAGAAAAUAAUCCAUCU
ensembl:lncRNA